AAGCUAUUUUGACUUUUGCUAAGAAUUUAGCAGGUUAACGUGUGCUAUGACAUGCUGCGGAAUCUUUAAAAAGGUAAACACUGGUUUAACUGCACAUGAGAUAUCCCUAGAGGAUACUUGCAAUAUUUAAGCGAUAUACCCCUACCAUACAUCUGAUUAAACAUUUCUGCCCCCACAUGGCAAAGGAGACUCGAUGUGGUCCACUCGGGCCCCCUCGGCUGUGUCAGGUCCCAGGGUGGAGCAAGGUGUAGAUUCUGCGGGGUCCCUGUUUCAUGUCUUGCUGGUAGGUUGGAUUUUGCAGGGUGUUUGUUGCGGCGGAGCACCUCCAUUGGUAGCAUCGGUCACGUGGGUUUGCAGGCCCUUCAUCUUGUCCG